CUGGCUCAGGAUGAACGCUAGCUACAGGCUUAACACAUGCAAGUCGAGGGGCAGCAUUGGAGUAGCAAUACUCAGAUGGCGACCGGCGCACGGGUGAGUAACACGUAUCCAACCUGCCGCUUACUCGGGGAUAGCCUUUCGAAAGAAAGAUUAAUACCCGAUGGUAUAAAGAGUUCGCAUGUUCUCUUUAUUAAAGAAUUUCGGUAAGCGAUGGGGAUGCGUUCCAUUAGAUAGUUGGCGGGGUAACGGCCCACCAAGUCUACGAUGGAUAGGGGUUCUGAGAGGAAGGUCCCCCACAUUGGAACUGAGACACGGUCCAAACUCCUACGGGAGGCAGCAGUGAGGAAUAUUGGUCAAUGGACGAGAGUCUGAACCAGCCAAAAGUAGCGUGAAGGAUGACUGCCCUAUGGGUUGUAAACUUCUUUUAUAAGGGAAUAAAGUGAGGGACGUGUCCCUUUUUGUAUGUACCUUAUGAAUAAGGAUCGGCUAACUCCGUGCCAGCCGCGGC
rnacentral:rRNA from 1 species